rnacentral:rRNA from 1 species
UACGUAGGGUGCGAGCGUUAAUCGGAAUUACUGGGCGUAAAGCGUGCGCAGGCGGUGAUGUAAGACCGAUGUGAAAUCCCCGGGCUUAACCUGGGAACUGCAUUGGUGACUGCAUCGCUCGAGUAUGGCAGAGGGGGGUAGAAUUCCACGUGUAGCAGUGAAAUGCGUAGAUAUGCGGAGGAACACCGAUGGCGAAGGCAAUCCCCUGGGCCUGCACUGACGCUCAUGCACGAAAGCGUGGGGAGCAAACAGG